rnacentral:rRNA from 1 species
AUGUGUGAAAGUUGGGUGCCACCUCCAAACCUCCGUAGUUUUGAUUCAUGGGACCCCUUUUCUCCUUCGCAGUUCUCGCGACUUCCAAAUUGGGUUAAUUCAAUGUCGCUUCCCCACAUCUCCACCCUGAAGAUAGAUGUGGAAGAACUGCAAGGGGAUGACAUUCAGAUCAUUGGGAUGAUGCCCGCUCUUUGCUUUCUACAGCUGUGUACACGUCGCGUGAUGGGAACGUUGGUUGUGAGGGCCGAAGCAUUCCCAUCUGGAAGAUGUUGCUGGUUCUACGGGUUUCCGAUGCCGCCGAGCCUUUUUCUACCUGGAGCUAUGCCAAUGGUUCAGCGCCUUGCCUUCGGGGUAUCUGUGUGGUCUAUCGCGAGUGUUGAGGUCAACUGCGGCAUGAGCCACCUCCCUUCUCUCGAGCAUGUUGAGGUUUUUCUGCAGCAUGAGAAUUCCAGUGAUGAAGAGAUGGAGACAGCCAAGGCUUGGCUGAGGCGUGCAGGAGAAGCCCAUCCAAAACGUCCCACCAUUCAAAUCAUUGACUGGUGA